AUAUUAUUUAAGACCACAUGUUCCAUUGCAGAAGUUUAAUCAAUACACUUUGGCAAUAUAUAUUGCAAAACAAUACUAAUUAUGUAUAUAGAUAUCAACUAUAGAUAGUGAAGUUGUACUUUUCCUAAAGAAAUGUCGAAAUUUGUGAUUUUUCUUCUUCUUGCUGGUCUUCUUGUUAUUCAGAAUGCCGAGUCCAGACUUUGUAGGCGGUAUCGUUUUGUGUGUUCAAGGUAUUGUAGUUGGCGUUGUUGUAGAUAUAGGAUUGUAACUGUAUUGUAUCGUUGUAAUUAUGGUAGACGAUCCAUCGAGAAUGACGUUGAACUUGCUAAGCUCAAAGGCAACUAGAUGACUAAGACCAAAUUCAGCAGACAACAGAUCAAUCUUCGUGUAAUAAAACAAUAUAUUGAAACUAA